rnacentral:lncRNA from 1 species
AUUAGCUCAAGUGGUAGAGCGCUUGCUUAGCAUGCAAGAGGUAGUGGGAUCGAUGCCCACAUUCUCCAAGCUUUAUUAUUUAGACAUCGUGUCUCCAAACACUCAGGUCUCCAAACCCAAGUUAGUGUCUGAGAACAGGAUGCUGCUUUGGUUCAAGACGUAGGCGCAGCAAUAAUAGAGGGCUGGUGAUGGCUCCCUCUUGGCAUUCAGUAUAGUGUAGAUCUACCAUGUAAUUAAUUCUCUGUUUCUUUGAGGAGCUGUGAAACCAAGGGACAUAUACAACUGCUCUUUUCUCCCUGUUUCUACCUGUAGCUUUGUCCUAAAUGUGAGACAAUUAUGAAAAGUGCAGGGCAGAGCCACUUGGGUAAAUACAGCCUCGGCUUUCUGCUCAGGGGACAGAGUUUGAGGCACUGCAGAGGAACCAGCCAAAGUAUGAGACCCAUAUGUUGAGAGUGACAGAGUGUAAAGUUCAAAACAAUCAAAAUAUUUAAAGAUUUAUCAUGGGUCUUGAUGACAUGAUGGUAUCUCUCUACUCUCUGGACUUAUUAUGUGUGGUAAUAAAUUUACUUUUUAAAAGCCA